CUGAAAAUUAAAGCAAUUCACUUUCAGUUUCUGUUUAAGUCAAACUGAUACUUAGUCACACACCCAUGUUAUUUCUCUCUCCGGCUGCAAUAAGAUUCCAGGACAAUGUCAGUUAGUAUAAAGAAUUAUAUUUUUCCAGUCAUCGGUGUGAUCUUAUUCCCUUUUUAUCUGCUGGGGAAUCUGUUCCUGUGGAUCAUCCUGUGUAUAAA